rnacentral:rRNA from 1 species
ACGCUGGCGGCGUGCUUAACACAUGCAAGUCGAACGGUAAGGCCCUUCGGGGUACACGAGUGGCGAACGGGUGAGUAACACGUGGGUGAUCUGCCCUGCACUUUGGGAUAAGCCUGGGAAACUGGGUCUAAUACCGAUAUGACCAUGGACUUCACGGUUUGUGGUGGAAAGCUUUUGCGGUGUGGGAUGGGCCCGCGGCCUAUCAGCUUGUUGGUGGGGUAAUGGCCUACCAAGGCGACGACGGGUAGCCGGCCUGAGAGGGUGACCGGCCACACUGGGACUGAGAUACGGCCCAGACUCCUACGGGAGGCAGCAGUGGGGAAUAUUGCACAAUGGGCGCAAGCCUGAUGCAGCGACGCCGCGUGGGGAUGACGGCCUUCGGGUUGUAAACCUCUUUCACCAGGGACGAAGCGAGAGUGACGGUACCUGGAGAAGAAGGACCGGCCAACUACGUG